rnacentral:rRNA from 1 species
AACGUAGGAGACAAACGUUAUCCGGAGUUACUGGGCGUAAAGGGCGUGUAGGUGGUUUCGUAAGUCUGGCGUGAAAUUUUUCGGCUUAACCGGGAAAGGUCGUCGGAUACUGCGGGACUGGAGGACGGUAGAGGCGUGUGGAAUUCCGGGUGUAGUGGUGAAAUGCGUAGAGAUCCGGAGGAACACCAGUGGCGAAGGCGACACGCUGGGCCAGUACUGACACUGAGGAGCGAAAGCGUGGGUAGCGAACAGG